CAUCUUGGAUCGACUCGCUCCCUCUUCUCACUGCCAGGAUCAUUCCUCCUCUCCAGACCAUGAGGCACCGGGGUGGAGGACAGGCCUGAUGGGAGACAGGGGGAAAGUGAGGCCCAGUGACUGCUAAGCAGGCUGUGGCCAGAAUCCAAGGAAUGCUGGGUUCUCCACAUAGCCCUCCUUGAGCCCAGCUGCCAUCCCGCUCAUACAACCAGAAGUUUCUGGAAUCAGUCUACCCCUUGACUCAGGGUAGCCAGACCAGUCUGGGUGCCCAGACUUUACCUCCCACCUGCCUUGUCUGAUCAUGCUGCCGGCUGUUUCUACAGUGCUUCUCAGACAUAAAAACUGUACGCUGACCUUCCCGGAAUUUCCAGGACCUGAAUGCUACUGUCCGACCACCGUGGCCUGCUGUUCAUUCCCGAAGUUACCAGUGGUGGAUGAGGGAGGAGUGGAGGAAACAGACCAGGAGUCCACACUAUGGCCCACAUCAGUCACCUUCCUUACCCUGUUCCUACUCAGCUUGUUCUACAGCACAACAGUGACGCUCUUCAAGGUGAAGCCUCUGUCGCCCAUCAAAUAUUGAGGGUGAAGUGACCCUUCUCCUCUUCAACUCCAUCUCUGGGGGCACAACCAGGAGUCCUGGGAUCCAGGAUCUCACCCUCUUUUCCCUGGGUGUCUGAUGGGAGUGGAGCAUUCCGAGAUGAGACAGCCAGAUCAUCCCAGGCCAGCCAACACUCCCACCCCUGGAGACAAGGGGGAGGGGAGAUAGGCUUUGCAAGACUCAAGGGCCUUUGCCUUUUGACCUCUGCCUUGUGGCAUCCUGUUCCUCUCCCUGCUUCCUCCACAGUUCAUCAAGGGACAAGGCAGUCCCCAGGAGAUAAUCUCCGGACCUUUCUAACCUUCCAUCAUUAAGCGGUGUCCUGCAUCCCUGCUUUAUCUACGUAAUAAACAGCCAGAGAUUCUG